rnacentral:rRNA from 1 species
AUUGAACGCUGGCGGCAGGCCUAACACAUGCAAGUCGAGCGGAAGAAGGGAGCUUGCUCCUGGAUUCAGCGGCGGACGGGUGAGUAAUGCCUAGGAAUCAGCCUGGUAGUGGGGGAUAACGUCCGGAAACGGGCGCUAAUACCGCAUACGUCCUGAGGGAGAAAGUGGGGGAUCUUCGGACCUCACGCUAUCAGAUGAGCCUAGGUCGGAUUAGCUAGUUGGUGGGGUAAAGGCCUACCAAGGCGACGAUCCGUAACUGGUCUGAGAGGAUGAUCAGUCACACUGGAACUGAGACACGGUCCAGACUCCUACGGGAGGCAGCAGUGGGGAAUAUUGGACAAUGGGCGAAAGCCUGAUCCAGCCAUGCCGCGUGUGUGAAGAAGGUCUUCGGAUUGUAAAGCACUUUAAGUUGGGAGGAAGGGCAGUAAGUUAAUACCUUGCUGUUUUGACGGUACCAACAGAAUAAGCACCGGCUAACUUCGUG